rnacentral:lncRNA from 1 species
AAGCUACUUUGCUUUGGGAGUGCUGUCUGGCCAGACUAAUAAAGGUCUGUUUUACUUUCCAACUUGUCCGGUGUGUUCCUUCCCGGGUGUUCUUCGCUGCAGUCAGCUCCUCAGAGCGUUUGGUAAGGCCCUCGGUCUUACAACUUGAGUGAGAAAGAAGCUUAGGGAAAAAAACCCAGAGAAGAGAAAACACUGAGAGGUGAGAGGAACAAGGGAGAUGGUGGAGAAGGACCAACAUGCACAGCAACACAACUGGAACAGGAGAGCUGAGGGCCAGAGGGGCAGGAGUUGGCCGCUGCAGUCCGGUGACAAGAACAGUGAAAGGGCACUGUAUGUGGAAGGGCUCCACAUCGACCUCCCUCACGAUGUCCUAAGAUACCACGCUUCAUCCCCGGCCAAGGUGGAGUUCAGCCCCUCACCACAGCCUCAGAUCACAGACUGCACUUCCUGGUCAGACUGACCACCUAUGCUUCCCCCUGGGCCUUGGCCCAGCAGCUGAAAUGCCACUUCUGCUGAGAGCCUUUCACAGCUACUCCAUCCAGCAGCUGUCUGGGACCAUCCGUGUUUUCACUUCACUCACUCAUUUUCAGAGCACUUCUCACCACUGGUAAUGAUCAUUUAAUUGGCUUGUGCAUUAGAAUGAGGGUGACAAUGGUCCCGAUUCAGCAGUCUCCUCAAGUUGUUGAGCAUUAACUGAGGCAAUAGUGUGUGCACGCUACUGAAACAGUGCCUGGCUGCUAUCUUGGACCAAGUAAGAGCAGUGUUAUUAGAAGGGAGACUGGCAAAGUGGUCUGUAGGACUGGGCCCCCUAACAAAACAGAUUUAUGCUCUAAGGGGAGAAGGUGAACAUGCUCUUGGGUGCUGUACCAGCUGUCUUUGCUUCAGUCUGCAAACCAUGUAACAUGCUGCUGCAAUCCUGUGGUUAGAGAUUUUCCUCCCAAGUGUCAUUAAGCUAAAACUGAAGUUAAUCUCUCAUUCUCAUUUUAUAUGUAUGCAUGAACUAAAUCUAUAGGGUUGUUAUUUACCACAAAUCACACAGCCAGAAGUAGAGAGCCUCAGUUGGGUCUCAGUCUUUCUAGGUGGUGGUUAGGGAAGGAGGAGACACUCCUGGUGGAGCCUGCUUCCCUGAUGGGCACUAACAUGAGCUGACGGUGUGUUCUUGGGAGAGCCCAGAGCUUGCUCUACAGAUGAUCUGGGGCGAAGACAACAAGCAGCAGUGGUGAAUCCAGAUACUACGCCCUCUGUUCUUCAAGACUGCUGAGCUGUAUUUCUG